GACCAUAGUUACAAACAUAAAAUAUCUGUUUUAAUGUUUGUUAUUUAAAUUGUUAUACAGAAAGUAUCAGCAUUCAGUUUUUACCACAGAUAAAGUCAAUUUAAAACAGAUGUUAAAAGUACCAGGUGUGAUAAAUUGGAACAAAGAAUGUAGAUUUUCAGCCACAUCAGAAACUCUAUUUGAUGUGCUUAAAGAAGCCUCUAGAGAAAAUGGCGGUGAAUUACAUGUUCACCCUACAGCUCAUGUCUGGUCAACGGAUUUAAAUAAAUUAAAAAUUGUUCCAGUUCCAGCGGGACUUCAUCUUACGGCUUUGAACGUGGCCCAAGCUGAGUUUGUAGCAGGAAUCUGGGAUGAUAGUGGAGAUGGAACGGCAGAAUAUAUUCAGGCUCUAAUACAAGAUUAUACGUCAUUAGCCCUUUAUAAUGAAACGGAUAAUUUGAUUGGUUAUAUGUUAGAAACUAACUAUGACACCAUGGGGAUGUUGUAUGUGAAAGAGGAUUUUAGGGGUCAAGGCUUUAGUAAAGUUUUAGUGUCAAAUUUAUCUAAGCUUCUGUUAGAAAGUGGAAGAAUGGCAAAUGUUUAUAUAGAUGCGAGUAAUACUGUGUCGGCCAAAUUACACCAAGAUUUGGGUUUUGAAAUGCAAGAAGGAUGUUACAGAUAGUUGAAAUACAUCCCGGGCUGAUUCAUUCUGAUUAAAAUACAGAUCUGUAUUUCGUUUCGUUUCAAUCUGAUUAAAUUACAGAUCUAUAUUUCGUUUCGUUUUUUUAUACUUUCGAUGGCCUACACUACAUGAAGAUCUGACAAGUUAUACCGAUACGUCACGUAAGACCGACUUAUGAUCCUAUGAUGUCAGACAUUUGAUUAACCAAUGAGCAUUGAUGUUACUAGUGGAUUACCCACAGUUCCGUGCAAAACACGCCUAAAGCUCGCCGUGACAGACCGUUUCAUUGGCUUAUCCCUGACACCAUUCAGAACACGAGUUAAAUAACGGCUCUUCGAGAUCCAAGUGUAGUAAAGACACGUAAAUCGAAAUUUUGAACUAUAAAAACGAAACGAAAUAGGAUCUGUGUUUUAACCAGAUUGGUUUCGUUUUUUUUUUAUACUUUAGAUGUUAAUUGAUGUAAUUAAUUGAUGAAGAAAUUGAAUGUGUAUGGAGGACAUUGACGAUGAAUCAAUUGAAACAAUUUAAUUGAAUCAAUUAAUUGACGGAUCAAAGUUCUUUUAAUAUUUAUUGACGGCUCUUCACUUAAAUAGACCGUGUCAGAGAUCCUUUCAUCUUGAAGUUUGCAAUCAGAAUGAAAAUUAAUGCUAAAGCAUUGAUCGUGUAUGGGCAAGGUCAAUUUCGCCAACUAAGUUAUAUCAAUUAAUUGACAUCAAUUAAUUGACGAAAAUAGUGAACGUGUAUGGACCGCUUAUGGCUUCAUAAAGGACGUCAAAUUGUGAACGAAGACUGUUCAAAUCAACAACAAAGACGGAGCUCCUUUUUAAAACAUGGUUUUAACAAGCAUGAAGACACACGUUUCCAGUUUGGUUAGUUAAAUAUUUGAGGUACACGUCACAGAAGAAAGAUCUAUAUUUCGGUUCAUUAAAAACUUGUAAUGGUUUAACUGGGUGUAUGAACAGAUUGUCUGGGUGAAAAAAAUCGUAUGAAUGGCGUCUGUCUGUCGUCCAUAACGUCGUAUCAUUCAACCAAACCACGUCUGCCAUUGAAGCUAUGCCCACAACCAUAGAAGGCAGAGCAACCUCGUGCAUGACGUCACCACGGGAGAAAACUUUACAAUAAUGUCUGUAUUCUUUUUCAUAUUUACUGGGAACAUAAAACAAGUCGCAUGGACGUGAUAUGGCGAACUGUUCACUGCCCGUAGCUUGCAAGAAGUUCUCCCAGAAAGUCUUUUCGGCAUGAAGAUUCGGUCCUUUACCCAAUGAUUGUAUAUUAUCAAGAACUGCGUUGGUUUGUCGUUGAUACCACCACCACCACCCCCAAUCGUUAUGUUUUGUCGUCCGAUUUAAAAACGUAAAGCCUUCCGGUAACCAAAACUUAUCUAAUGGUAAUUUUUUCACAUUCCACGAAUUUAGCAAAACGUCCUCUCCAACUUGCAGAUAACCCUUGACCCCGAGUUUCAUCUCCAUGGCCAACAUCGUGCAUUCGUACAUAAACUUCCAUGGAUCUGUAAUAUUACGAUACGCCCCUAAAAAUAUAACGGAAGGAGUCGAACUGUUUUGUAGAAAACGGUAGAAUGUCGUAAUAUUCGGACCACAGAAUAUUAAAUGUUUAAAAUAUGGCCGAUGCAUGAGGUCUGUUAAGUUUCUAUUAAAAUAAAAUUGAUCUUGAUUAUAUGUAACUAUCAAUGCAACAUCAUCUAUUAAUGGUUGUUGCCAUGGUGAUUGGACAUUCGGGCACAUGGAAUGGUAAUGAUCCGAUUUUAUAGGAAUUUCUGAGUUCCAAUCAGGAGGAUACACAAAGUUAUAGAGAACCGGAAAU